GCGGGAGGCUCCCCUGCGAUGCCCUAAUUUCAGAGAUCGCUGUAUUUAAAUGCCAAUGCCAUCGCCAACCUCAGCUUUCGACAUCCAGUCGCUGAAGUUUUGAUCCCCAGAUAGCAAAGAUAAGCUACAUAGCACUGGUACUGAGGCUCCUUGAUGAUUGUAUUAUUGGUGCCAAAUUUCAAUGUGCAACAAUAAAAGGGAUCCGCUUUGCAGCUUAAGCUUAAAUGUAUUUCGCUGCCUGUAAUGCCCUCACAUUCACGAAUUGCAUUAAAUACAUCUUCUUAUCAUUUCAUUUUCACCAGUUCGAUGAUUAAGACUUCUGUAUGAUCUUAUGACAUCAUAGCUCAGAAGCUUCUAAUUAAUUUUUUACGUUUGCAGCUCGAGGGGUCUCGUGCCAAGUAUCGAUUGCUUUAAUCCAAGGCCCCCAAGAGUUGCUCAACGUUGAUAGUGUACUUUGGGAAAGGAAGAUUGAUUUUUAGUCAGUUCACAGCCAAUUCUUUUUACUGUAAACGCUAUAUAUCAUAUAGAGGGUAAUUACGGAUUACCACAAAUCUUCUAUCUUCCCACCAUGUACAUGACUUCUGUUCUGUCUUUAAAAUGUAGUGUGUGGUUAUGUUAUUAUUAAUGUCAUUAAUAUUGAUGACCCUUAUGGAGAUGGCUGCUUAUGGUUUGGUAAUAUUCAUUUAGACAGAAGUUUGUCUAUUAUUUUGCACGAGAACUGUGGCCCUGUGUUGUUCAAUAUCGAGAGCCUAGUCUCAUUGUGCACACAUCAUAGAUGGGAUCCGCUUUGCAGCUGAAACAGUAACAUGUUUCUGCUGCCUGUAAUGCCCUUACAAUUUUCAAAUGAUAUUAUGCCAUCUGCGGGAUAAACAUCUCA